UACGAAGGGUGCUAGCGUUGCUCGGAAUCACUGGGCGUAAAGCGCACGUAGGCGGCUUCUUAAGUCAGGGGUGAAAUCCUGGAGCUCAACUCCAGAACUGCCUUUGAUACUGAGGAGCUUGGAGUCCGGGAGAGGUGAGUGGAACUGCGAGUGUAGAGGUGAAAUUCGUAGAUAUUCGCAAGAACACCAGUGGCGAAGGCGGCUCACUGGCCCGGUACUGACGCUGAGGUGCGAAAGCGUGGGGAGCAAACAGG
rnacentral:rRNA from 1 species